UACGUAGGGGGCAAGCGUUGUCCGGAAUUAUUGGGCGUAAAGAGCUCGUAGGCGGACUGUCACGUCCGCUGUGAAAGCUAGGGCUUAACCCUGGCCUUGCAGUGGAUACGGGCAGACUAGAGGUAGGUAGGGGAGAAUGGAAUUCCCGGUGUAGCGGUGAAAUGCGCAGAUAUCGGGAGGAACACCGGUGGCGAAGGCGGUUCUCUGGGCCUUACCUGACGCUGAGGAGCGAAAGCGUGGGGAGCGAACAGG
rnacentral:rRNA from 1 species